rnacentral:rRNA from 1 species
GGGCGUAAGGGCUCGCAGGCGGUUUCUUAAGUCUGAUGUGAAAGCCCCCGGCUCAACCGGGGAGGGUCAUUGGAAACUGGGGAACUUGAGUGCAGAAGAGGAGAGUGGAAUUCCACGUGUAGCGGUGAAAUGCGUAGAGAUGUGGAGGAACACCAGUGGCGAAGGCGACUCUCUGGUCUGUAACUGACGCUGAGGAGCGAAAGCGUGGGGAGCGAACAGGAUUAGAUACCCUGGUAGUCCACGCCGUAAACGAUGAGUGCUAAGUGUUAGGGGGUUUCCGCCCCUUAGUGCUGCAGCUAACGCAUUAAGCACUCCGCCUGGGGAGUACGGUCGCAAGACUGAAACUCAAAGGAAUUGACGGGGGCCCGCACAAGCGGUGGAGCAUGUGGUUUAAUUCGAAGCAACGCGAAGAACCUUACCAGGUCUUGACAUCCUCUGACAAUCCUAGAGAUAGGACGUCCCCUUCGGGGGCAGAGUGACAGGUGGUGCAUGGUUGUCGUCAGCUCGUGUCGUGAGAUGUUGGGUUAAGUCCCGCAACGAGCGCAACCCUUGAUCUUAGUUGCCAGCAUUCAGUUGGGCACUCUAAGGUGACUGCCGGUGACAAACCG